rnacentral:tRNA from 1 species
GGACAUAGCUCAGUUGUAAGAGUACAUGCUUAGGAUGCAUGAGGUUCUGGGUUCAAUUCCCAGCACCUCCA